rnacentral:rRNA from 1 species
AUGACUCGUAUCAGCAAGUUCCCAGUGCCUGUGAUAGAAGAGUUGCUCGAUGAGCUCCACGGAGCAAGGUGGUUCUCAAAGCUCGAUCUCCGAGCCGGCUACCAUCAGAUACGACUGGCUGAGGGCGAGGAGUUCAAGACGGCAUUCCAAACGCACUUCGGACAUUAUGAAUUCAAAGUUCUGUCUUUUGGAUUGGCGGGCGGGCCAGCCACAUUCAUCGGUGCUAUGACAGAAACAUUACACCCAGUCCUCCGACACUGCGUCCUCUUAUUCUUCGACGACAUAUUGAUCUUUAGCAAGACGUGGGCAGAACACAUUGAUCACCUCAGGCAAGUUCUCGAGCUGUUGCGCAGAGAUCACUGGAAGGUCAAGCGCUCGAAGUGCGAAUUCGGCCAACAACAGCUAUCUUAUCUUGGUCACGUCAUCAGCGGCGACGGCGUAGCCACGGAGCCCAGCAAAAUUCGAGCGGUACCAGCCUGGAACACACCCAAGGACACCAAGGAAGUGCGCCAAUUCCUCGGCCUUGCAGGGUACUAUCGCCAUUUCGUCCGCGGGUUUGGAGUGAUAGCCAGGCCCCUAUUCAACUUACUCAAGAAAGGGGUGCCGUUCGUUUGGACCGAUAACACAGCACAAGCAUUUGAGCUGCUCAAGCAACAGCUGAUUACAGCCCCAGUCCUCGCACUCCCGGAUUUCAACAAAACAUUCAUGGUGGAAACAGAUGCCUGCGACAAAGGAAUUGGCGCAGUUUUGCAAUAG